UACGGAGGGUGCAAGCGUUAUCCGGAUUCACUGGGUUUAAAGGGCGCGUAGGCGGGCGUUCAAGUCAGGGGUGAAAUCCCCCAGCUCAACUGGGGAACUGUCUCUGAUACUGGGUGCCUCGAGUGAGGUAGGGGCGUGCGGAACUGAUGGUGGAGCGGUGAAAUGUGUUGAUAUCAUCAGGAACUCCGGUGGCGAAAGCGGCGCGCUGGACCUUAACUGACGCUGAUGCGCGAAAGCCAGGGGAGCAAACGGG
rnacentral:rRNA from 1 species